rnacentral:rRNA from 1 species
ACGGGAGGCAGCAGUGAGGAAUAUUGGUCAAUGGACGGAAGUCUGAACCAGCCAUGCCGCGUGAAGGAAGACGGCCCUAUGGGUUGUAAACUUCUUUUGUUCGAGAGUAAUAAGGGGGAUGCGUCCCCCGAUGAGAGUAUCGGACGAAUAAGCAUCGGCUAACUCCGUGCCAGCAGCCGCGGUAAUACGGAGGAUGCAAGCGUUAUCCGGAUUUAUUGGGUUUAAAGGGUGCGUAGGCGGACGCGUAAGUCAGCGGUGAAAUAUCCCGGCUCAACCGGGAGGCUGCCGUUGAUACUGCGCGACUCGAGUCCAAACGGCGCCGGCGGAAUAUGUAAUGUAGCGGUGAAAUGCAUAGAUAUUACAUAGAACACCGAUCGCGAAGGCAGCUGGCGAGGAUGGCACUGACGCUGAGGCACGAAGGCGUGGGGAUCAAACAGGAUUAGAUACCCUGGUA